AGAGUUUGAUCCUGGCUCAGAUUGAACGCUGGCGGCAGGCCUAACACAUGCAAGUCGAGCGGUAGAGAGGUGCUUGCACCUCUUGAGAGCGGCGGACGGGUGAGUAAAGCCUAGGAAUCUGCCUGGUAGUGGGGGAUAACGCUCGGAAACGGACGCUAAUACCGCAUACGUCCUACGGGAGAAAGCAGGGGACCUUCGGGCCUUGCGCUAUCAGAUGAGCCUAGGUCGGAUUAGCUAGUUGGUGAGGUAAUGGCUCACCAAGGCGACGAUCCGUAACUGGUCUGAGAGGAUGAUCAGUCACACUGGAACUGAGACACGGUCCAGACUCCUACGGGAGGCAGCAGUGGGGAAUAUUGGACAAUGGGCGAAAGCCUGAUCCAGCCAUGCCGCGUGUGUGAAGAAGGUCUUCGGAUUGUAAAGCACUUUAAGUUGGGAGGAAGGGCAUUAACCUAAUACGUUAGUGUUUUGACGUUACCGACAGAAUAAGCACCGGCUAACUCUGUGCCAGCAGCCGCGGUAAUACAGAGGGUGCAAGCGUUAAUCGGAAUUACUGGGCGUAAAGCGCGCGUAGGUGGUUCGUUAAGUUGGAUGUGAAA
rnacentral:rRNA from 1 species